rnacentral:rRNA from 1 species
UAGGGAAUCUUCGGCAAUGGGGGGAACCCUGACCGAGCAACGCCGCGUGAGUGAAGAAGGUUUUCGGAUCGUAAAGCUCUGUUGUUAAGGAAGAACGAGUGUGAGAAUGGAAAGUUCAUACUGUGACGGUACUUAACCAGAAAGGGACGGCUAACUACGUGCCAGCAGCCGCGGUAAUACGUAGGUCCCGAGCGUUGUCCGGAUUUAUUGGGCGUAAAGCGAGCGCAGGCGGUUAGAUAAGUCUGAAGUUAAAGGCAGUGGCUCAACCAUUGUAGGCUUUGGAAACUGUUUAACUUGAGUGCAGAAGGGGAGAGUGGAAUUCCAUGUGUAGCGGUGAAAUGCGUAGAUAUAUGGAGGAACACCGGUGGCGAAAGCGGCUCUCUGGUCUGUAACAGACGCUGAGGCUCGAAAGCGUGGGGAGCGAACAGG